GCAGUGGUGGUUCAGUGGUAGAAUUCUGACCUUCUAAGUGGGAGACUUGGGUUCCAUUCCCUGCCAAUGCC
rnacentral:tRNA from 1 species